UACGUAGGGGGCUAGCGUUGUCCGGAAUCAUUGGGCGUAAAGCGCGUGUAGGCGGCUCGGUAAGUCUGCUGUGAAAGUCGGGGGGCUCAACCCUCGAAUGCCGGUGGAUACUGUCGGGCUAGAGUGCGGAAGAGGCGAGUGGAAUUCCUGGUGUAGCGGUGAAAUGCGCAGAUAUCAGGAGGAACACCAAUUGCGAAGGCAGCUCGCUGGGACGUAACUGACGCUGAGACGCGAAAGCGUGGGGAGCAAACAGG
rnacentral:rRNA from 1 species